rnacentral:lncRNA from 1 species
GAAGAUCCAGCGGCUUGCUGUGAGUCCGGGAGGCAAAAUUGUACCCAUUUCAAAGAUGUGAUGACUAAAGUCUCGAGAGGGCCAAGGCUCGCCCAAGGUUGCUCUGUGGUGACAGCUUUACCUCCUUGCUAUGUAUUCUCAGAUAUUGCAAACGGACGAGAGAAAAGUGGAGGUACGUGGUGCACAUUCUGACUAUGGGUGAUCCAACUUAGGCGGGAGUCAGAAAUCCCAGCACUGCCCCUUCCUACCUGUGUGACCCUGGGCGAGUUACUGAGCCCCUCUGAGCUGUUUUCUGUCUCUAUAAGGGGGAUUACAAUAGUGUCUUCCUCCUAAGGUGUUUGGGAGGAUUAAAUAAUGGAAGCGCCUUGUCUAGCACGGGACUGUCUUGCCUCUCCUGCUGUGAGCCACCACCUACAGGCGGACUUUCCUCACCGGAGGCUGCAGGCUGUCCUCCUUCCCUGUGUCCCCAGGGCCUUCUCCACUCAGCCCCGCCUUUCCACAGCACCUCCCACUGAUACCAGCAUCCUCCUCCGCCUCCCUCUGAUUGGCCCCAUCCCAGCUCCUCCAGGAUACUCCUCUGACAUCUGUUGUUUUUCUCAGCUCAACAUCCUUUUUUUGGUUGGGGAAUCGACUUCCCAUCCCAUGUGAUUGGAGGGACUGCCCCUCACCCCAUAGGAUGGCGAGCGGCAGGCUGUGGGCUUUCGACUCUGCAGAACCAAUCACAGGCCUUCCAUGAGAUUACUGUCUAGAUGCUGAGAGGAAGGAGCAUUCUUUUGGAUCUCAAGCCUAAGGAAUGGGAUAUAAGGCAACUGGGAGCCGUCUUUACGCUGGGCGGAGAGGGCUUACCCUGUCUGUGGCUGGAGAAAAUGAGACCAACUUAUAAAGACACAUAGAGAUGGAUAAGCAGCACUAAAG